UACGUAGGUGGCAAGCGUUAUCCGGAAUUACUGGGCGUAAAGGGCGUGUAGGCGGGAAGACAAGUCAGGAGUGAAAUCCCAGGGCUUAACCCUGGAGCUGCUUCUGAAACUGUUUUUCUUGAGUAUCGGAGAGGAAAGUGGAAUUCCCAGUGUAGCGGUGAAAUGCGUAGAGAUUGGGAGGAACACCAGUGGCGAAGGCGGCUUUCUGGACGAUUACUGACGCUGAGGCGCGAAAGCGUGGGGAGCAAACAGG
rnacentral:rRNA from 1 species